CCUACGGGGGGCAGCAGUAGGGAAUAUUGCUCAAUGGGGGAAACCCUGAAGCAGCAACGCCGCGUGGAGGAUGAAGGUUUUCGGAUUGUAAACUACUUUUGUCAGAGAAGAUAAUGACGGUAUCAAACGAAUAAGCACCGGCUAACUCCGUGCAAGCAGCCGCGGUAAUACGGAGGGUGCAAGCGUUACUCGGAAUCACUGGGCGUAAAGAGCGAGUAGGCGGGAUAGCAAGUCAGAUGUGAAAUCCUAUGGAUUAACCAUAGAACUGCAUUUGAUACUGUUAUUCUAGAGUAUGGGAGAGGUAGGUGGAAUUCUUGGUGUAGCGGUAAAAUCCGUAGAGAUCUAGAGGAAUACUCAUUGCGAAGGCGACCUGCUGGAACAUAACUGACGCUGAUGCGCGAAAGCGUGGGGAGCAAACAGGAUUAGAUACCCCUGUAGUC
rnacentral:rRNA from 1 species